GAUGAACGCUGGCGGCGUGCUUAACACAUGCAAGUCGAACGGUGAAGCAGGAGCUUGCUCUUGUGGAUCAGUGGCGAACGGGUGAGUAACACGUGAGCAACCUGCCCCUGACUCUGGGAUAAGCGCUGGAAACGGCGUCUAAUACUGGAUAUGUGAUGUGACCGCAUGGUCUGCAUCUGGAAAGAAUUUCGGUUGGGGAUGGGCUCGCGGCCUAUCAGCUUGUUGGCGAGGUAAUGGCUCACCAAGGCGACGACGGGUAGCCGGCCUGAGAGGGUGAACGGCCACACUGGGACUGAGACACGGCCCAGACUCCUACGGGAGGCAGCAGUGGGGAAUAUUGCGCAAUGGACGAAAGUCUGACGCAGCGACGCCUCGUGAGGGACGAAGGUCUUCGGAUUGUAAACCUCUUUCAGCAGGGACGAAGCGAAAGUGACGGUACCUGCAGAAGAAGCACCGGCUAACUAUGUGCCAGCCGCCGCGGUAA
rnacentral:rRNA from 1 species